rnacentral:rRNA from 1 species
AUCCUACGGGAGGCAGCAGUGGGGAAUAUUGCACAAUGGGGGAAACCCUGAUGCGGCGACGCCGCGUGAGUGAGGAAGUAUUUCGGUAUGUAAAGCCCUAUCAGCAGGGAAGAAAAUGACGGUACCUGACUAAGAAGCCCCGGCUAACUACGUGCCAGCAGACGCGGUAAUACGUAGGGGGCAAGCGUUAUCCGGAAUUACUGGGUGUAAAGGGAGCGUAGACGGAGGAGCAAGUCUGAUGUGAAAAUCUGGGGCCCAACCCCGUAACUGCAUUGGAAACAGUUUAUCUA